rnacentral:rRNA from 1 species
AAAUGAAUAGACGGGCACCCGCACAAGCGGUGGAGCAUGCUGUUUAAUUCGAAGAUACGCGAAGAACCUUACCUAGACUUGACAUCCCUGGCGAAGCUAUAGAAAUAUAGCAGAGGUUACCCAGGUGACAGGUGGUGCAUGGUUGUCGUCAGCUCGUGUCGUGAGAUGUUCGGUUAAGUCCGAUAACGAGCGCAACCCUUAUUAUUAGUUGCUAACAUUUAGUUGAGUUCUCUAAUAAGACUGCCGGUGAUAAACCGGAGGAAGGUGGGGAUGACGUCAAAUCAUCAUGCCCCUUACGUCUAGGGCUACAGGCGUGCUACAAUGGCCAUUACAACGAGAUGCAAUAUCGUAAGAUGGAGCUAAUCUUUAAAAAUGGUCCCAGUUCGGAUUGAGGUCUGCAACUCGACCUCAUGAAGUUGGAAUCGCUAGUAAUCCUGAAUCAGAAUGUCAGGGUGAAUACGUUCCCGGGUGUUGUACACACCGCCCGU